ensembl:snRNA U1 U1 spliceosomal RNA
CUACUUACCUGGCAGGGGAGAUACCAUGAUCACAAAGGUGGUUUGCCCACGGCGAGACUUAUCCAUUGCACUCAAGAUCCCUGUGAUUUCCCCAAAUGCAGGAAACUGGACUGCAUAAAUUGUGGUAGUGGGGGACUGCGUUUGUUCUCUUCCCUG